GAUGAACGCUGGCGGCGCGCCUAACACAUGCAAGUCGAACGGCACCCACCUCCGGGUGGAAGCGAGUGGCGAGCGGCUGAGUAACACGUGGAGAACCUGCCCCCUCCCCCGGGAUAGCCGCCCGAAAGGACGGGUAAUACCGGAUACCCCGGGGUGCCGCACGGCACCCCGGCUACAGCCCCGACGGGCGGGGAUGGCUCCGCGGCCCAUCAGGUAGACGGCGGGGUGACGGCCCACCGUGCCGACAACGGGUAGCCGGGUUGAGAGACCGACCGGCCAGAUUGGGACUGAGACACGGCCCAGACUCCUACGGGAGGCAGCAGUGGGGAAUCUUGCGCAAUGGGGGGAACCCUGACGCAGCGACGCCGCGUGCGGGACGGAGGCCUUCGGGUCGUAAACCGCUUUCAGCAGGGAAGAGAAGAGACUGUACCUGCAGAAGAAGCCCCGGCUAACUACGUGCCAGCCGCCGCAGUAA
rnacentral:rRNA from 1 species